GAUGAACGCUGGCGGUAUGCUUAACACAUGCAAGUCGAACGGACUCUUCGGAGUUAGUGGCGGACGGGUGAGUAACGCGUGAGAAUCUGGCUUUGGGUUCGGGACAACCACUGGAAACGGUGGCUAAUACCGGAUGUGCCGAGAGGUAAAAGAGAAAUUGCCUGAAGAUGAGCUCGCGUCUGAUUAGCUAGUUGGUGAGGUAAAGGCUCACCAAGGCAGCGAUCAGUAGCUGGUCUGAGAGGAUGACCAGCCACACUGGGACUGAGACACGGCCCUGACUCCUACGGGAGGCAGCAGUGGGGAAUUUUCCGCAAUGGGCGAAAGCCUGACGGAGCAAUACCGCGUGAGGGAAGAAGGCUCUUGGGUUGUAAACCUCUUUUCUUAGGGAAGAACAAAAUGACGGUACCUAAGGAAUCAGCAUCGGCUAACUCCGUG
rnacentral:rRNA from 1 species